rfam:Rattus norvegicus chromosome 12, whole genome shotgun sequence.
GGGGACUUAGCUCAGUGGUAGAGCACUUGCCUAGCAAGCACAAGGCCCUGGGUUCGGUCCCCAGCUCCA